rnacentral:rRNA from 1 species
GACGAACGCUGGCGGCGCGCCUAAUACAUGCAAGUUGAGCGAUGAAGAUUGGUGCUUGCACCAAUUUGAAGAGCAGCGAACGGGUGAGUAACGCGUGGGGAAUCUGCCUUUGAGCGGGGGACAACAUUUGGAAACGAAUGCUAAUACCGCAUAACAACUUUAAACAUAAGUUUUAAGUUUGAAAGAUGCAAUUGCAUCACUCAAAGAUGAUCCCGCGUUGUAUUAGCUAGUUGGUGAGGUAAAGGCUCACCAAGGCGAUGAUACAUAGCCGACCUGAGAGGGUGAUCGGCCACAUUGGGACUGAGACACGGCCCAAACUCCUACGGGAGGCAGCAGUAGGGAAUCUUCGGCAAUGGACGAAAGUCUGACCGAGCAACGCCGCGUGAGUGAAGAAGGUUUUCGGAUCGUAAAACUCUGUUGGUAGAGAAGAACGUUGGUGAGAGUGGAAAGCUCAUCAAGUGACGGUAACUACCCAGAAAGGGACGGCUAACUACGUG